rnacentral:rRNA from 1 species
GACUCUCGGCAACGGAUAUCUCGGCUCUCGCAUCGAUGAAGAACGUAGCGAAAUGCGAUACUUGGUGUGAAUUGCAGAAUCCCGUGAACCAUCGAGUUUGAACGCAAGUUGCGCCCGAAGCCGUUAGGCCGAGGGCA